AAGAAGUCCCCAUCAGCGAAGCAUCAUGGCUUUUACACCAUAUCGUAGAUUGAGAGGAUCAUACGUACCUGAGACCAAGAUUAUGUUGUGCGCUAUGCUUUCUGGAGUUGUUAUACUCCCUCUGAUAUUGUUCCUUGAAUGCCAUUAUGAGUACAAGUCAAUGGCAAGUUUGAAACCUGUUUGUUUCUGGAAAAAAGACUCUGACAUGAUGAACAAUUCUUCAAUACCCCCAGCCCAAUUAGGCCUUAGCCCCUCAUCUAGCAUUCGUCACACACGCCCCCUCAAGAACCUUUCUCCACCACCUUUCUAUCAG